ACACUCGGUGCUCACCAGUGCUCACACACACACAAGCGCAACCAUGGCCGUGUGCAUCUCCGUUUGCAUCAAAGCUUGCAUCUCUGCGUGCAAUUCGAGCGAGUCGCGAACGAUCGUCAUUUCGCACACGACUUGCCGAUAUUCGCUCGAAGGGCACGUAUCGCGGAAUUUCUCGGGACAGAUUUCGAUCGGAAUUAUUUCGAUCAUUUCCCACAUUCCUAUUGUACUUGUUGGGGAAGUCUGAAUGAUUCCGAUUGUAAUUCAUUCCGAAGAGUCCCGUAAUACGUGCCCGACGGUCUCAUCACAGUUACAUAAUGUUACAAUUUACUUUCAGCGAGAUGUCGAGACCGCAAAUGAACUCGAUAAUCUGCAACCAAUGCUUCACUCUGUAACGUGGUACGGGCGUUGUCCCCUGUCCCCGAUGUACAGGGGGCAACGUCCGUACCACGUUACAGAGUGCGGCCACAGCUCCUGCCAAAAUUGUCUGCGAUAAGUUGAGAACCGAUGUCCGCAAUGCCAGCGUGUCGGCAUCGUCUCGACAGCGCUGGAGGAGCCGUUGUCGCCGACGCUGAUACCGUACUUCCAGCCGUUCGCCGAGCUCCUAGAAACGAUACUGAAGGUCGACACGUUCAAUAGCACCCAAUUGGAAAUAAUGCUGCAGCGCUUCUACGAUCUUAAAAGAUAGAAGAAGAACGGAAACACUUCGAACAUUUCUAGCAGACCACAACCUUAAUUUCUCAUAAUUUUCUACUUGUAUCGCGUCUCUUGUAUCUUCCUCGCGUUUCUCAUGUGUCUUUUCUUUCUGAAU